rnacentral:rRNA from 1 species
GGAAGGCCCCCCACACUGGGACUGAGACACGGCCCAGACUCCUACGGGAGGCAGCAGUGAGGAAUAUUGGUCAAUGGGCGGAAGCCUGAACCAGCCAAGUCGCGUGAGGGAUUAAGGCCCUGCGGGUCGUAAACCUCUUUUGCCGGGGAGCAGUGGUCCGGACGCGUCCGGGCCGGGAGAGUACCCGGAGAAAAAGCAUCGGCUAACUCCGUGCCAGCAGCCGCGGUAAUACGGAGGAUGCGAGCGUUAUCCGGAUUUAUUGGGUUUAAAGGGUGCGUAGGCGGGCAUUUAAGCCGGCGGUCAAAUGUCGGGGCUCAACCCCGGCCUGCCGUCGGAACUGGGUGCCUUGAGUGGGCGAGAAGUAUGCGGAAUGCGUGGUGUAGCGGUGAAAUGCAUAGAUAUCACGCAGAACCCCGAUUGCGAAGGCAGCAUACCGGCGCCCUACUGACGCUGAGGCACGAAAGUGCGGGUAUCGAACAGGAUUAGAUACCCUGGUAGUCCGCACAGUAAAC